GCCCCUGAAGCACAAUGGAUUGCGCGUUGGACUUCUAAUCCAAAAGUCGUGGGUUCGAAUUCCACCUGGGAUG
rnacentral:tRNA from 1 species